rfam:Catenaria anguillulae PL171 BCR44scaffold_386, whole genome shotgun sequence.
GGGGUUAUAGCUCAGUGGUAGAGCAAUCGACUGCAGAUCGAUAGGUCGCCGGUUCAACUCCGGCUGGCCCCU